UACGUAGGGGGCAAGCGUUGUCCGGAAUCAUUGGGCGUAAAGCGCGCGUAGGCGGCCCGGUAAGUCCGCUGUGAAAGUCAAAGGCUCAACCUUUGAAUGCCGGUGGAUACUGUCGGGCUAGAGUCCGGAAGAGGAGAGUGGAAUUCCUGGUGUAGCGGUGAAAUGCGCAGAUAUCAGGAAGAACACCCGUGGCGAAGGCGGCUCUCUGGGACGGUACUGACGCUGAGACGCGAAAGCGUGGGGAGCGAACAGG
rnacentral:rRNA from 1 species